GAAAGACUGCUCGUGUUCAUCUCUUGACAGCCGCGAAAACUGUGUGACGGUGGUGUAAACUCGCCCAACCUAACCUUCUAGAAGUCGAUGUUCAAUUCAAUUCAAUUCAAUUUAUUUUUGUUCAUCAAAUCUACAUUUGGCAAUGGCGCAACCAGAUAUAGAACACGUCCAAGCCCUAGUUACGAGUACAAUAAAAUCAAUCCAUAGGACUACGUUAUUAAGAUAUUACAACAUCCACAACCAUUAUUGCAAUAACUGAUGAUAAAUUGCUAUAACUAAACACAGCAUGCAUAUAACACUCGGACUGCAACUUCUUAUCAUAACAAAAUACAUAUCAACAUUGUCAAUAACAGAGCAAUAUCAUAUCCGAAGAGUUAUGGGCAUCUUACAAUACAAAUUUAAAAAAUGACUAGUGUAGACAAGUGGCCCAGAAUGCCGGGACGAAGGUGAUGUUUGAGGGUGGAAUUAUUUUCCAUAAGUUGGUAAAUCAUAGGAAUGGUUCUCUGCGUUAUAGAAGUUGGACAGUUUUGAGGAAUAUUAAAGUUUGAAUGUGGGGAUAUUGUGUAAAGUGUGUGAGGUUGGAGAUUUUUGGGAAUGUGAAGGUUUAUAAGUAUUAGAAAUACUUAGAUAUGUGAGAUAUCUGGAAACAUAGAAUCGCUCUUGGAUACAUAGGGAUAUGAUGCACCAGUUAAUCUAACCGAGCUGUGCCAGAAUGUGCAGUGAGGCGAUGCUUCAACUGAAGAGUACGCCUUGGGUGUACACCGACAUUACCUGCUCCUUUAAAUGAAGAAUGUAGCUCUAGAUGAUAGUGACAGAUAAUUGAGAGUGGGUGCAGGAGGGGUGAGUGUAUUUGAUUCUACGUACAUGGUAUGCGGCUGCUGUUCAGGAGAAUCCAGGUCUUCCCAGAUAACAUUAUGGGUCUGAAUAUGUGAGUUCCAUUUAUGUGCUGGCACAAUGAUCUGCAGUGGGUGCAGGAAGGAGGAGUGGAUUUAGUUCCAAGUAUGUGGUGUGCACCAGCUGUUCAAAAGAAUCCACAUCUUCUCAGAUAACAUUAUAGAUCCGAAUAUGGUGAUGACUGUUACAAGGAGUGUGUAAAGUUGGACCAGUUAUCUUUAGACUUGAUUCGAGUUUGAUGCUGGUUAUGCAGAUUAUUCUAGUGAGAGGAACACAGUAAGUAUUCAGUGGCAAGUUGAUAUGUGAGGUUAACUGGAGUAUGUUGGAUGGAUUACCCUCUUCGUGAUUAUUUUCCCGAAUUCUCUUAAUGUUUAUGAAGUGUUAUUUGUUUAAGAUGUGAAGCAUGUCAUUGAGCAUCUUGUCAUCCCACAGCUAUGCACAAGUAAUGAAAUUUACUUGGGCAUCAGAUAUUAGUGUCAUCCCUUAAUAUUACUGGAAAUGCACUCGUGACAUUGCCUAGAAUUCCCAUUCAGUUCUACUAGUGUGCAGAUUAUAUUGCUUUAAAAGAUUGUAUGUGCUUAUACAUAACAUCUGUGAAUGCAGUUGUCCUGAGGUUGAUGUUUUUAUUAGAGACUUGAUGACUGUUUGCUGUCAUCAUAAACCUUAGCAAAGCCUUUGGGUGACUGAUUGAAUGUUAAGAAGCAGUGCUCUGGCAGCAGAAUGUGACGGUUGAAGGUCAUUGUCAUGGAGAUGGUCGUUGGAUAUGAUGUGUAGCCAGUUGAAUCCACCUGUGAUCCAAAACUCUGCUUAUUGACAUUUCCUGUUUUAAUUUUAUUCUGCCAUGAGGUGUUCCAUCUUGCAAGGAUCCACUUCCCAGGAGGAUUCUCCACAUAGAAUUUGGUAUGAACGUCAUGUGCCCUGCCAUCCUUCCUACAUGUGAGGCUACAGAAGUGUCUUAUAGUUCGCCAUGUCAGAAAUUCUGGGUGAUAUAUUUAUAGCUAGGUCAGUGUCCUGAAUUGCUGAGAUGUGAUCCUUCUUAGGUUUAAAUACGUAUCUUCCUGAUAAAUUUGUUGCACUUGUGAUGAGUAGGAAAUAAAUAUGUGACCCCAUGGAGUUUGGUAUAUUGAUGAAUGAAAUAUUAAUGUCUGUCAACCAAGUGUAAAUGGUGUGGUGGUUUCACACUCUUAGCUUCGCGCAUUUGAGUUGCAUUGUACUUAAUUCUUCUAACAUAAGAGCUCUAAGGACCCUCUUAUAAAAUCGAAGUAGUAGUUUUAUAGUAUCCAGAACUUUGGUGCAUGAAUCACAGUGUUCAAUGUAACAGAAUGGAUGUGGCUUCACAUACAUUCUUGCUAUAAGCAUGAUAGCAUGUACAAUUGAUUCUGCCUCAGUUGUUCGCUUGUUAACAUCAACGUCAGCCUCUUUGUGAAUAUGAGUGUUUCACAUUCAUAACGCUCACAAUACUACUUCAGUCAAAUGAUAUUAAUGUGUUUGGAAGGUUCACACUACGUGAAUUUGUUUAUUGUAAAUUAUAAUGUUAAUCUCAAUGUGAAGGUAAGUGAAUUUUAGUAUCAUAAGGUUGGCAGCUCAUGCAGCUUGAGGUGCUGGUUUUUAUAUCAUUAUUAAUGAUUUUUAGUGUUGUUGUGAACAGUGAGUGAGUGAGUGAGUGAGCGAGUAGGGUUCAUGGUCAUUUGUAGUAUUACAGUAAUGUAUGAUUAGGGUUGGUUUGUGUUUCGUUGGUGAUGGCAAAUUCCUGCAUUGUAAGAAUAUUGAUAUUUAAUAUCUGGAACUUUUGAAAAUCAUUUCAUGUCAUAAAAUCACUUAUACACUGAAAUGUGUGGAAAACUGUAUUGUGAUGUGUGUAAUAUUUGUACGGUAUUCCCAUAGAUUUUGGGGAACCCACAAUACUGUUUAUGCUGAUGAAGAUGUGUUUAAAUGAAACAUAUAGUAAAGCUGAUAUAGGUAAACAUUUGUCUGAUGCGUUUUCUGUCCGAAAUGGUCUAGAAGAAGGAGUAGCUUUACCCUCAUUGCCUUUCAACUUUGUUUUAUAGUAUGCCAUUAGGAAGAUGCAUGAAAACCAGAUAGGGCUGAAAUUAAUGAGGCACGUAAGCUGCUGGCCUGUGAUGAUGAUGUGAAUCUGUUGGAAGAUAGCAUAGUUACCAUAAAGAAAAACGCAGAAGCCCUAAUUGAUAGCAGUAAGGAGGUUGGUCUGGAAGUAAAACAGUGAGAAG